rnacentral:misc_RNA from 1 species
UACGUAGGUGGCAAGCGUUGUCCGGAAUUAUUGGGCGUAAAGCGCGCGCAGGCGGUCCUUUAAGUCUGAUGUGAAAGCCCACGGCUCAACCGUGGAGGGUCAUUGGAAACUGGGGAACUUGAGUGCAGAAGAGGAGAGUGGAAUUCCAUGUGUAGCGGUGAAAUGCGUAGAUAUAUGGAGGAACACCAGUGGCGAAGGCGACUCUCUGGUCUGUAACUGACGCUGAGGUGCGAAAGCGUGGGUAGCAAACAGG